UGAUAGGUGCCCGGUUAGCUCAGUCGGUAGAGCACCAGACUCUUAAUCUGGUUGUCGCGGGUUCGAGCCCCGCAUCGGGCUGAUA